rnacentral:rRNA from 1 species
UACGUAGGGUGCGAGCGUUGUCCGGAAUUAUUGGGCGUAAAAGAGCUCGUAGGCGGUUUGUCGCGUCGACUGUGAAAACCUACAGCUUAACUGUGGGCUUGCAGUCGAUACGGGCAGACUUGAGUUCGGUAGGGGAGACUGGAAUUCCUGGUGUAGCGGUGAAAUGCGCAGAUAUCAGGAGGAACACCGGUGGCGAAAGGCGGGUCUCUGGGCCGAUACUGACGCUGAGGAGCGAAAGCGUGGGGAGCGAACAGG